rnacentral:rRNA from 1 species
GAGUUUGAUCAUGGCUCAGAUUGAACGCUGGCGGCAGGCCUAACACAUGCAAGUCGAGCGGAAACGAUCCUAGCUUGCUAGGAGGCGUCGAGCGGCGGACGGGUGAGUAAUGCAUAGGAAUCUGCCCGGUAGUGGGGGAUAACUUGAGGAAGCUCAAGCUAAUACCGCAUACGCCCUACGGGGGAAAGCAGGGGCUCUUCGGACCUUGCGCUAUCGGAUGAGCUUAUGUCGGAUUAGCUAGUUGGUGAGGUAAUGGCUCACCAAGGCGACGAUCCGUAGCUGGUCUGAGAGGAUGAUCAGCCACAUCGGGACUGAGACACGGCCCGAACUCCUACGGGAGGCAGCAGUGGGGAAUAUUGGACAAUGGGGGCAACCCUGAUCCAGCCAUGCCGCGUGUGUGAAGAAGGCCCUCGGGUUGUAAAGCACUUUCAGCGAGGAAGAAUGCUUGUCGGUUAAUACCCGGCAAGGGAGACAUCACUCGCAGAAGAAGCACCGGCUAACUCCGUGCCAGCAGCCGCGGUAAUACGGAGGGUGCGAGCGUUAAUCGGAAUUACUGGGCGUAA